rnacentral:rRNA from 1 species
CCUACGGGUGACAGCAGUGAGGAAUAUUGGUCAAUGGGCGGGAGCCUGAACCAGCCAAGCCGCGUGAAGGAAGACGGCGCUAGGCGUCGUAAACUUCUUUUGUCGGGGCACAAAGGGCGCCACUCGUGGCGAUGUGUGUGUACCCGAAGAAAAAGCAUCGGCUAACUCCGUCCCAGCAGCCGCGGUAAUACGGAGGAUGCGAGCGUUAGCCGGAUUUAUUGGGUUUAAAGGGUGCGUAGGCGGUCCGGAAAGUCAGCGGUAAAAGCCCGGGGCUCAACCUCGGCGAGCCGUUGAAACUGUCGGACUAGAGACGGCGAGAGGGACGCGGAAUGCGCGGUGUAGCGGUGAAAUGCAUAGAUAUCGCGCAGAACACCGAUUGCGAAGGCAGCGUACCGGCGCCGGACUGACGCUGAGGCACGAAAGCGUGGGUAUCGAACAGGAUUAGAUACCCUAGUAGUC